GAUGAACGCUGGCGGCGUGCUUAACACAUGCAAGUCGAACGAGAAGUGGAGACGGAAACCUUCGGGCGGAAGGCUUUACUUCGAGUGGCGGACGGGUGAGUAACGCGUGGGUAACCUGCCUCAUACAGGGGGAUAACAGUUGGAAACGACUGUUAAUACCGCAUAAGACCACAGCACCGCAUGGUGCGGGGGUAAAAACUCCAGUGGUAUGAGAUGGACCCGCGUUCGAUUAGCCAGUUGGCGGGGUAACGGCCCACCAAAGCGACGAUCGAUAGCCGAUCUGAGAGGAUGACCGGCCACAUUGGGACUGAGACACGGCCCAAACUCCUACGGGAGGCAGCAGUGGGGAAUAUUGCACAAUGGGGGAAACCCUGAUGCAGCGACGCCGCGUGAGUGAAGAAGUAUUUCGGUAUGUAAAGCUCUAUCAGCAGGGAAGAAAAUGACGGUACCUGAGUAAGAAGCCCCGGCUAACUACGUGCCAGCAGCCGCGGUAAUACGUAGGGGGCAAGCGUUAUCCGGAUUUACUGGGUGUAAAGGGAGCGCAGACGGCUCUGCAAGUCUGAAGUGAAAGCCCGCGGCUUAACCGCGGGACUGCUUUGGAAACUGCAAGGCUUGAGUAUCGGAGGGGCAGGCGGAAUUCCUAGUGUAGCGGUGAAAUGCGUAGAUAUUAGGAAGAACACCGGUGGCGAAGGCGGCCUGCUGGACGAAAACUGACGUUGAGGCUCGAAGGCGUGGGGAGCAAACAGG
rnacentral:rRNA from 1 species